GGAUGCCGGGGCAGGAGGACGAGGGUGUGCUGUGGACACAGCAGUCCGCGGGAUUCCGUUCUGGGAAGCCGAUGGUCCCGGCACCCCCUGCUUCCUCCCUCUGUUGUCUGCCUGUGUGACACACAUCAAUGGCAAUAACUUCUUCCAACUCCUCGCAGAAGUGGGAGAGGCCUGCAGCCUGCACCGAGAGGGGCUUUCCUCUCUCUUGCUCCCCGCUUCGUUCUGUUUUGGCUGCAGAGAGUGGUUCAUCCAUACUCUCAUUCCCUCGCCUCCCCUAGUGGACGGAGGCGGGGGUCUUGCCUUUUCAAUUCCUGUGUUUUGGUGUCUUCCCUUAUCUGCUCCCCUGAAUCACCUGUCCCGGUCUUGCUGUGUGAUGGGAACGUGCUUGUAAACUGCGUAACAAAUCUACUUUGUGUAUGUGUCUGUUUAUGGGGGUGGUUUAUUCUUUUUGCUGGUCCCUAGACCACUUUGUAUGACCGUUUGCAGUCUGAGCAGGCCAGGGGCUGACAGCUAAUGUCAGGACCCUCAGCGGUGGAGCCUGCUGGGGGGACCCAGCUGCUCUUGGACAAGUGGCUGAGCUCCUAUCUGGCCUCCUCUUUUUUUUUUUCCCCCCCAAGUAAUUUGUGUGUAUUUCUAACUGAUUGUAUUGAAAAAAUUCUUAGUAUUUCAGUAAAAAUGCCUGUUGUGAGAUGAACCUCCUGUAACUUCUAUCUGUUCUUUUUUGAGGCUCAGGGAGAAACUAGCAUUUUUUUUUUUUUUCCAAACUACUUUUUGUCACUGUGACAGUUGUAAAUAAAGUUUGAAAAUGCUUUCCA